rnacentral:rRNA from 1 species
GACGAACGCUGGCGGCGUGCUUAACACAUGCAAGUCGAACGGAAAGGCCCUGCUUUUGUGGGGUGCUCGAGUGGCGAACGGGUGAGUAACACGUGAGUAACCUGCCCUUGACUUUGGGAUAACUUCAGGAAACUGGGGCUAAUACCGGAUAGGAGCUCCUGCUGCAUGGUGGGGGUUGGAAAGUUUCGGCGGUUGGGGAUGGACUCGCGGCUUAUCAGCUUGUUGGUGGGGUAGUGGCUUACCAAGGCUUUGACGGGUAGCCGGCCUGAGAGGGUGACCGGCCACAUUGGGACUGAGAUACGGCCCAGACUCCUACGGGAGGCAGCAGUGGGGAAUAUUGCACAAUGGGCGGAAGCCUGGUGCAGCAACGCCGCGUGCGGGAUGACGGCCUUCGGGUUGUAAACCGCUUUCGCCUGUGACGAAGCGUGAGUGACGGUAAUGGGUAAAGAAGCACCGGCCAACUACGUG